rnacentral:lncRNA from 1 species
AAGUUCUCCAGAGUUGAACUACAGAACCAAACAAAAUGUAGCCAAAAUGUCAGAUUUUUGUUUUAUGGAAACUGACAGGCUAAUUCUAACCUUGGUAUAGAAACGAAAGCAUGGAAAAUGGCCAGGGCAACUCUGAAGAAGAAAAUCAGUACCACAACUUACUAUGAAGGAUGUUGGCAUCAGGAACAGCAUGCCGGCUAUAUGUUUUCAUUAUGCAACUAGACACAGCCCACUCUUCUG